AGCGGAGGAAAAGAAACUAACAAGGAUUCCCCUAGUAACGGCGAGUGAAGAGGGAAGAGCUCAAAUUUUAAAUCUGCCUUGUUCCAAGGUCGAGUUGUAAUUUGAAGAAGCGUUUUCUUGGGCUCGCGGCCGGUAGAAGUUCUUUGGAACAGGACAUCAUAGAGGGUGACAAUCCCGUCCGUGACCGGUCGUGCGUUCAUCUACGAUACGCUUUCAAAGAGUCGAGUUGUUUGGGAUUGCAGCUCCAAACGGGUGGUAAACAUCACCUAAGGCUAAAUAUUGGCGAGAGACCGAUAGCGAACAAGUACCGUGAGGGAAAGAUGAAAAGAACUUUGAAAAGAGAGUUAAACAGUACGUGAAAUUGUUGAAAGGGAAACGAUUGAAGUCAGUCGUGCUGGCGCGAAAUCAACCCUCUCGUCUUGAGAUCACAUGGCGCGACGAGCCUCAAAACCGUCACGAAGCGUGAACUCUUGACGAAAAGGUGCACUUUCGUGUCCGCUGGUUAACAUCAAUUUCGAACGUCAUAAAAAGGCUGGAGGGAUGUGGCUCCUUCGGGAGUGUUAUAACCUUUAGCGGAAUGUGGCGUUCGGGAUUGAGGAUUGCAACGAAUACCUUCAGGGCUGUUCCACCUGGCUUCUCAUUGGUAUCCUGGUGACGACAGCUUGCUGACGUCGUUAGGAUCAGCUUCUGAACAGGCUAGAGUGUGAGCAAAUUCGUWAAGGAUGUUAACGUAAUGGCUUUAAACGACCCGUCUUG
rnacentral:rRNA from 1 species